AUAAGGCCAGACCAAUUUUAUUUCUUGUUUUACAGAUUUUUUUCCUCAGAAAACCUGAAGGCAGGAGGGAAAAAAUAUAUAACUAAAAUCACCAGUCAAA